rnacentral:antisense_RNA from 1 species
GAAAUUGUCGUCCUCGGCAGCCAGCAGGGCGUGGAUGAAGUCCUCGGGGAUCUCUUCGAAGCGGAUCGGUGAGCGGCGCAUCUCGCCGAACUCCGCGAUCAGCUUGUCGUCGGCGCUGUAAACGCGCAGUGGAAUCUGCAGCUGUAUGCUGCGCAGCGAGUCGACCGAAGGGAGGUUCGGGCUCAGAUAGAGAAAGGCGCCGGUAACGCUGAGUAAUAGUGCGCAGAAAAUCGCUAGGCACGACCAAAGGAAAAAUUUCAAAAAACGCAUCGGGGUUCUUGGAAUCCAGGAUUU